GUGAGUGGUGGUUCAUGGGCAAAUGAGUGGAAACGUUAUUAUCCCUUGUCCAGAGGAAACUGGGCAGUACCAGAAGCACCACCUGUGGCACCCGGAGCUGCUCAGAGGAAGGUCUGAAAAUCACAAACCUCAGACUAACCCCUUCAUUUGAGAAACUGGGGCCCAGAGGGCUGAAGUGACUUUUGCAGUGUCAUGAAAUUGUCAACCAAAGGACUGAAUCCCAGCGCACUGUGCUUUCAGCUGUUUUAUCCUAUAUUCCUGAAGGAUAAGUUCUAUAGAAUAGAUUAGCUCCUAUCAGUGGGUAGCCCUCUAGGGAGAGAACUGUCAGAGGGUUUUGUUCACACCUUGUUUCAAAUGCUGCUGCUCCUUCAGGACUGUGGACACGGAGACCUGCUUCCUAAGACUUCCCUCCCCACUUGGCAAUCAUCUUGAAUUUGUAUUAGAAGUAAGGAAAUGGGACUGCUUUCUCCAAAUAUUUAUAAUGACUUUAUUGCUCUGAAUUGCCACACAUCAGAGAGAACUUUUAACCAUUAGGGGUCUUGACUUCCUAUUUGUGAAAAGUGGAGUGACUCUGAUCAAGAAGGCUCAACUCCUUUUGGUUGGAGAUCACAGGAAUGGCAUCAUGUCAUGAUGGCCAUAGGGGAGCCACACCAGCUGUACUGUCCCCAGUGGAAAGAGCCAGGACCCAGGACCCAGGGCAGGCAGUGACAGUUUCCCAGAGCACAAUCACUGUUGACUUGGGAGGUACCACUGGCAAAGUGGCCUGUGAAGAUCACCUUGUCGUAGCCUUGGUUCCUUGCCCUCCAGAGAGCCGACUCCCCUUCUCUGGGCUGGAUGAGCAGGAGAGACAGAGACACCUGGCCCUCCCGGAACAGAGUGAAGCUGACAAGGUAGGUGCCAUUGUUGAGGUCGCUCACCUUUCCCGAGGCGCCUGCCUGCAGGGCUGGGGAGGACAUCCUGGCCCUCAGGAAAUCCCCGCCAUAUGGCUUCUGCGUCCCAAGUGGUCCCUCACCUCCAGCAGGACAUCCAGCUGAUGCCCCUGUGGUAUGUGUCUUGAAGGCUGAGGAUGGUGGCUGUGCUGUGUGUGGCGCUGGUGGUGGAGGUCACGUGGGUGAAGGGUCUGGGUGGGACCAUCUGGUCUAGUUUCUCCCUGAUUUUAUCUCCGCUUAGUCUUUGUUGGUGCAACUAUUGGAUUUAGUGGUGCUUUAGGACAUGAUUUCGUGAUGAAAUUCCAGUGAUGGAGGGAGAUGGGCAGCUUGAGUGCAAUCCAUAACUGAAAUGACAAGGAGUACAAGAGAGACCAUAGAAAAUAUUCCUGUUUAAUGUGAUAAUUUUGGUAGGUUAGCCACAUUCUCUUUUAUAAAAUGAUGAGAGGUACAAAAAUUAAAAUGAUUUGAGAUUUCACUCCCAUAUAUGUUUCAUAGGAAAAGUGAGUUUCCUUACAUCGAUGGUAGAACUCCACUUUUCACUGGCUAAUCUAUUUUGAAUGAGCCACUCAACCCCAAAGAGCCCUAGGAUCUUCCUUAAAGGGGUGACCACAAAAUACAUUUUUACUGGGCAAUUGUGAAGACCACACGAGAAAAUGCUUUUUAACUGCAUAGCAGAGAACACAUGUUUAUUGUUCUGUUAUUCUUUAUCUUAAAAUUAAAUUCAGACUGAAAUAAAUCCUUAAGGAAAUGUUUAAGAAGCACGGAUCUCUACUCUUACCAUUUUGAUGAUUUUUCUCUCAUCUUCCGUGCACCGUUUUACAUGAUGAUGAACAAACUGAAUAUUUACCAAUGAAUUUUGACUUUAAAAAAGCAUCAUUAAAAACUUUCCACCUUAUAUCAAAGGCCCCUAUAGUAUUCCAGCCUCUGGAUAUAGGUUAAUAUUUUACUCAUUCCUAUCUUUUAAGAUAUUUAUUGCAUUCAGCUUUUCUUUUUCUUUUUGCUUUUUAGGGCUGCACCUGCAGCAUAUGGAAGUUCCCAGGCUAGGGGUCUACUCAGAGCUGUGGCCGCUGGCCUUCGCCACAGCCACAGCCACACAGGAACCGAGCUGCAUCUGCAACCUACCCCACAGCUCAGGGCAACACCAGAUCCUUAAGCCACUGAGCGAGGCCAGGGAUUGAACCUGUGUCCUCAUGGAUACUAGUCGGGUUCAUUAACUACUGAGCCACGACGGGAACUCCUCAGCUUUUCUUUAUUACUUACUUAUAGUUCUUUUUUUUCCCUCAUUUUAUUUAUUUAUUAUUACUCAAAUGAAUUUAUCACAUCUGUAGUUGUAUAAUGAUCAUAACAAUCUGAUUUCACAGGAUUUCCAUCCCAUAGCCCAAGCACAUCCUCCCACCCCCCCAAACUGUCUCCUCAGGAGACCAUAAGUUUUUCAAUGUCUGUGAGUCAGCAUCUAUUCUGCAAAGAAGUACAGUCUGUCCUUUUUUCAGAUUCCACAUGUCAGUGAAAGCACUGGAUGUUGGUGUCUCAUUGUAUGGCUGACUUCACUUAGCACGAUAGUUUCUAGGUCCAUCCAUGUUGCAAAAAAUGCUGGUAUUUCGUUCUUUUUAAUGGCUGAGUAAUUAUUACUUACACGAUAUCUCUGAAUUUCCAAUAAAGGAAGAGUAGCUUGUAUUGGACUGGGUUACUAUGAUUAAUAUUAUUACUGUUUUAUCAAACUUUUAAAAAAUAAUAUUUUUAUUUAUCAAAUAAUAGAGAUGGUAAGAGCAAAGACUUAGGACAUGCCAGAUACCAAUCUAAAUGCGUUUCAUAUGGCAGCCCAUUAAUUCUCACAAUAACAUAUCAGGUGUUUAUUUUUAUGACCCCCUUUUUAGAUGAUGAAACUGGUUCAUAGCAAAGUUAAGGAACUUAAUCAAGCUUGUAGAGCUGGUCAGCAACAGAGUCAGGUUUUACUCCCAGGCAAAUGUCUCUAAAAAAUGAGCUACCCAGUGCUGCGAGUGUGCAGUAAGACUAGACUUCUCUUUCACUGCUGAUUUAGGUGCACAUUGGCCCCAUGUUUCUGGAAAACAAUUCUACAGCACGUAUUAAGACUUUUAACAGGGUUCACUGCAUUUACCAAUAAGUCUAUUCCUGAGAACUCUGUGAAUCAUAGUAAUGUCUCCUGCAGAUACAAGUGGAAAAACUCUAGACACCCCCGCCCCCUGCCCCAAACUUCUCUUUUAAAAGCACUAGAGAGUGAUCAUGAGCAGACAGACCCUGGAGGAGGGUUGAAACUUGGAAGAAGGGACAACGCUGGGCUUGUAUUUAUGAAAAAUGCCACCUGAAGUGCUUCAAGCUGAAGUGAAAUUACACCAAAAAGAAACAGAGAUCUUUAGGAAGAAACAAAAAGCAACCAGAAAUGGUAAAUAUAUGGACUAAUAGUCAAAUACUCCGUGUUGAUCUCCUAAUUUCUUUAAAAUGCAUGUGAUUAUUUAAAAACUCUAACUUUGUAAUAAUAUGACAACGAUAAAGAGUGGGUGGGGAAUAGGUGGCAGUAAGUGGUUGAAAGGUGAUUACAGAUUUACAUGAGGUAGCACAACAUUCAUUCCAAAGGUUAAUAAGAAUGUGUAUUACAAUCUCUAGAGAAACCACUUUAAAAACAACUUAGAGCUAUGAAAAU
rnacentral:lncRNA from 1 species